rnacentral:lncRNA from 1 species
CUUAUACUUUGAAAAUAAUUAAUGUGUUGAAUGAAUGCCCAGAGGUGAGUCUGGAAGGCAAAGGAGGCUUCUAAGGCAAGAAGGAAAGAGGAAAAGGGAGAUACUUCAAGUACUGCAAAGAGCAGAGGAAGAAGUGAGAAACCCAGGGUGUCCAGAGACAUUGAACGGCACAGACAAGUAAAAUAGGGCUAUGUAAGGAAGCAGAAGACAAAAAGGAAGACAGAGGCUUGCCAUGCUUCAAAUGCCUCUGGAUGUCUGUCUUUAUCUUCUAAGCAAUGUAUAAUCUUCACAAGAGCUUCUGUUCAUGGAGAAACUGAGUCUUAAGAAGGAUAAAUAACUCACCUGAACAUACAAAGAGUGAAUGGCAGAGCAGAAUUCAAAUCCAAGUCUGUCUGACUGUAAAGCCUGUGCUCUUUACCAUUUCGUUAUAUUUAAGGCUGGAGACUACAGUCUCUUCAAGUUACAAGUACUGUGAGAUUACCAUUGGGUCAGCCUGGCCCGUCCUGUGGCAGCCAACCUGGCUUCCCUGUUCUGAACAGCUGCUCUGACCAUCUGGGAAGCUGUGAGGCAAGGCCCGCUUUAUCCUGUCUCCUUGCUCGGGCCUGAUAACCUUAGCCUUCCUACACUCGGCACAGGACAAAGCACCAGGCCGCGUCCUCUGCAGCAGAUCUGCUCCCUCAUAUGGGACUGGAAUGAGGGUGGGGAACCU